rnacentral:lncRNA from 1 species
AGACAUUCCACUAUGACUGUGAAAGAUCCAGUUUCAUUGCUGCAUGAUGAAGCCAAAAAAUCAAGAGACACAGAGCUUGGGGAAGAAAGAGCUUUACUGACAACAUGCCAGCAAGUUACUCUUCAGUUGAUCAUUAGAAUGGUAAAGGCCUUUCAUCAGAAAACACGGGAAGACAGCAAAAGGCAGUGGUCCCCAACAACAAGGGAAGAUGCCAAAAGGCAACUGGCCCAUCAGAAAACAAGGUGGCUGUUGGAUGAUCAAGUGCGACCAAGGAAUGACCUUUAAGUGGAAGAUUUCUGAGGCACACCCAGAAAGUUUCCUUAGAUUUUCAGGUUACUAGUUUUUCUGCCACUUGUCUCCUUUCUAUGAGGGAUGCAGAUGAAAUGGCUGGACUUAGAGCAGUUAUCAUGAAGCAUGAGGAAAUCCUUGGGCUGCUUACACUGUGUAUCAGGCAUUUCAGCCUUGUAUUGGCUCCCCCCUGACUUGUUUUAUGAUAGAAAAUAAAUCAUUUAAGUCACUAUUAUUUUAGAUUUACUAUCACACAUGGGCAAAAUGAAUCCAAAGUCUGGG